rnacentral:tRNA from 1 species
GCGUAGCUCAACGGUAGAGCAGCUGAUUUGUAAUCAGCAGGUUGCGGGUUCGAGUCCCAUUGC